rnacentral:rRNA from 1 species
GGCUUGAAACAUUAAGCCGGCCACGGUUUCGUGUGUUAGUGCUUGGUGUUCUGGCCAUCCUUCCAAUCGCUGCUGGCCUUUCUUCAUUGAUAGGUUGGUAGUAUUGGAUCUUUUACUUUGAAAAAAUUAGAGUGUUUCAAGCAGGCUUUAUGCUAUGAAUACAUUAGCAUGGAAUAAUAAUUUAGGACUUCGGUUCUAUUUUGUUGGUUUCUAGGACUGAAGUA